rnacentral:rRNA from 1 species
CAGUCGCCGCGGGAAUACGUAGGUGGCAAGCGUUGUCCGGAAUUAUUGGGCGUAAAGGGCUCGCAGGCGGUUUCUUAAGUCUGAUGUGAAAGCCCCCGGCUCAACCGAGGAGGGUCAUUGGGAACUGGGAAACUUGAGUGCAGAAGAGGAGAGCGGAAUUCCACGUGUAGCGGUGAAAUGCGUAGAGAUGUGGAGGAACACCAGUGGCGAAGGCGACUCUCUGGUCUGUAACUGACGCUGAGGAGCGAAAGCGUGGGGAGCGAACAGGAUUAGAUACCCCAGUAGUCCCUGUCUCUUAUAC